AACAGUUCACUUGCUAACACCAGUGUCGCGGCGGUAUUAUUUUAUAUGGGAGCUUAUGGAGAAAACACAGCGUCAAACAGUAUUUGUACUCGUGUUAAAAUCAAUUAAAUAAGUAUCACAGACUGGAGUAGGAAAAUUAUGAUAAUUCUUAUUUUCUUUAUGAGUUAAAGACGUAAUAUUCAACAUUUACUAAUCACAUCAAAUUUCAUCAAGCAAAAUUACUUGCUAUCGCGGCCUUAAGCUAUUCUAGCAAAAGUAUAUGGCCACAUUUAGAACAGCUGUAACUUCAUUGUUAACAGUUAGUCUUGGGCAAACGUGGACACAAUUAUACUUGGGCAGUAUUUGUAUUGUUUGCUAAUACUCAAGUGAAUGAAAAAUAAUGCCAUUUUAGGCAAUACUACUUUCAAUAAAUGAAUCUUUUACAGGCCAUCGAAAUAUUCGAUAUAAAUAAGGAAGUGGUUUUUUUGUUUGUGAAUAAAUUUGUUCAACAAUGAUAUUUUCGACUUCAACAUCCGUCACGUUAAUUCAGCAACAAGUAUGCAGCCAUUUCACAUUUUUUGACAAUUGACAGGAGACUUGCGUCGCCCAAUGCAAUCAUGGUCGCAUCAUAUAAUUCAAACUUUACUUUUUUUGUGCUCAUGUAAAUUAUAUUUUCAAUUUUGAAUUAUCAUAUCAGCAAGAAGGUAUGGGAAAAUAUAAAAUACCCGAAAUUAAUGGAACCGCGGGCAUGAAACUAUCAUCGUGUUAAAGAAGUGGUUCACGCAGAAAACUCGAAAAAAACCAUUACCAUUCACUACAAGAAUCGAUACUGAGCCAAUUCCCGGUGAUUAUUUGAGACGACAAACUACUGACAUGGAACUUCAAUUAGAGCUAGACUUCAACGACGAAGUGAAAUCAGAACAAACAAUUCAUAGACUACAAUCUCACACAAUCAUACAAUACGAUUUUUUAAUUUAAUUUGUUACACAUUUGAAGUC